UUCAGGUUGACUCAGUUUUUAUCUGCAGUAAAAGAUAUCAAACAGUGAUGACAGGCAUUGACAGGACAGUCACAUGUUCACUGCUCUCAGACUGAAUCGACAAAGUGAUUGUAUAAUAUACAUGCGUUGUGUUUAGAAAAUAACAAAAAAAUACAGAAAAGCAGUAAAAUAAAACAGUUAUGACAGGCACUGACAGGACGGUCACAGCCACACGUUCACUGGUUAGGUAGGACACAAGAUAUCAUUUAGAUAGGAGCAACAGUAGUGAUACAUGGUUAGGUAGGACACAAGAUAUCAUUUAGAUAGGAGCAACAGUAGUGAUACAUGGUUAGGUAGGACACAAGAUAUCAUUUAGAUAGGAGCAACAGUAGUGAUACAUGCCCUCAAUGUGAAGUGAUAUUAAUCCAUAAAUACAGAGCACAAGUACAACCCUUUUUAUAUAAACAUUUGAAGGUUGUAAGAAAAUAAACAUGAAGUUAAUAUUUCAAUAAGUCACCUGCUAGUAAAUCACCUGCUGGUAAUAGCUGCGUGACACAUUGUAGUGCAGUGACCAACGGUGCUAGUUAGCUCGUCAUUAACACGGCUAGCUAAACAAGCAGAAACCUGGUUAACUUGCUGAAAUAGGUCUUCAAUUUAUGAACGGCAAAAUAAAUAUAUACAUAGCCACAUUCGCCAUUGACUUUAGGAUAUAUGAACCAGUUUUCCAAAACCACUAUUGUGUUAUAGAGUUUUAAACAGUUUUUAUAUAAAGAGGAAGAGGACUGGAACCUGCUGUCAGAAUAUCUCUCUCAGCCUGAGGAGCAGGCAGACCAACUUCCCAAAUAGGGUAGAACCAGUGCUGUCACAAUGUUGCACAUAUGUAAAUAUGUUGUUUACUGAUCUCCUCUCCAUUCUAGCACCAUACGUUCUGUUGUUUACUGAUCUCCUCUCCAUUCUAGCACCAUACGUUCUGUUGUUUACUGAUCUCCUCUCCAUUCUAGCACCAUAUGUUCUUCAGAAGCUGGUCAGCAUAUGAAUAGAAUCCAUCUUCUCUCACCGUCUCCCCACAAGACCUACAUCACACAAGAUGCUUCAGAAUAACAACAACAAGCUGGUGAAGUUACUACCCAACAGGAACAGCCAUGACAACAACAACAAGCUGGUGAAGUUGCUACCCAACAGGAACAGCCAUGACAACAACAACAAGCUGGUGAAGUUGCUACCCAACAGGAACAGCCAUGACAACAACAACAAGCUGGUGAAGUUGCUACCCAACAGGAACAGCCAUGACAACAACAACAAGCUGGUGAAGUUGCUACCCAACAGGAACAACCAUGACAACAACAACAAGCUGGUGAAGUUACUACCCAACAGGAACAACCAUGACAACAACAACAAGGUGGUGAAGUUACUACCCAACAGGAACAGCCAUGACAACAACAACAAGCUGGUGAAGUUACUACCCAACAGGAACAACCAUGACAACAACAACAAGCUGGUGAAGUUACUACCCAACAGGAACAACCAUGACAACAACAACAAGCUGGUGAAGUUACUACCCAACAGGAACAACCAUGACAACAACAACAAGCUGGUGAAGUUACUACCCAACAGGAACAACCAUGACAACAACAACAACAACAAGCUGGUGAAGUUGCUACCCAACAGGAACAACCAUGACAACAACAACAAGCUGGUGAAGUUGCUACCCAACAGGAACAACCAUGACAACAACAACAAGCUGGUGAAGUUGCUACCCAACAGGAACAACCAUGACAACAACAACAAGCUGGUGAAGUUACUACCCAACAGGAACAACCAUGACAACAACAACAAGCUGGUGAAGUUACUACCCAACAGGAACAACCAUGACAACAACAACAAGCUGGUGAAGUUACUACCCAACAGGAACAACCAUGACAACAACAACAAGCUGGUGAAGUUACUACCCAACAGGAACAACCAUGACAACAACAACAACAACAAGCUGGUGAAGUUACUACCCAACAGGAACAACCAUGACAACAACAACAAGCUGGUGAAGUUGCUACCCAACAGGAACAACCAUGACAACAACAACAACAAGCUGGUGAAGUUGCUACCCAACAGGAACAACCAUGACAACAACAACAAGCUGGUGAAGUUGCUACCCAACAGGAACAACC
rnacentral:lncRNA from 1 species